rnacentral:ncRNA from 1 species
GCUUCGGGGCAGGGUGAAAGUCCCUACCGGCAGUAUAGUCUGCGAACGGCGGUCGAACCGCUGUUGAAUCGGUGCGAUUCCGAUACCGACGGUCAAAGUCCGGAUGGGAGAAGC